UACGGGGGGGGCAAGCGUUGUUCGGAAUUACUGGGCGUAAAGGGCUCGUAGGCGGCCAACUAAGUCGGAUGUGAAAUCCCCAGGCUUAACCUGGGAACUGCAUCCGAUACUGGAUGGCUUGAAUCCGGGAGAGGGAUGCAGAAUUCCAGGUGUAGCGGUGAAAUGCGCAGAUAUCAGGAAGAACACCUAUGGCGAAGGCAGCUCUCUGGGACGGUACUGACGCUGAGACGCGAAAGCGUGGGGAGCGAACAGG
rnacentral:rRNA from 1 species